UUAUACUUAAGUGUUUAUGCAUAUAAAUUUUUGAAAUUUAUGGAUUAGAUUAAUUCUAAAAGUAUAAU
rnacentral:tRNA from 1 species